GGGAGUAUAGCUUCGUAGUAGAGCGUGUGCUUGGCAUGCAAGAGGUCCUGGGUUGAAUCCUUAGUGCCCCCA
rnacentral:tRNA from 1 species